rnacentral:lncRNA from 1 species
AUGGUCCAGACUGAUUAUUUAUGUAAUAACCCAGAGCAAAUGAUCUUGUGUUUGUCAGGUCAGGUUCUCUGUUUUAAAGUGAUUGGCUGCUCUGGAGGGAGUGUAAUGUUCAAGUGCAUGAACUCAAACCAGAGAGAGUCUAAUGAUCAGCUUAAAGGAAAGUAUUUCUGCAGAAACAGAGACUGUAAACCUGGCAUCAGUACUGAGCUUCUGCGCCGCUGGGUUUAUAAUGAGAGAUACACUCUGUAUGAUGAUGGAAACAGCAGAUUCUUCACAGUGUUUAUCAGGAACCUCAGCAGAGAGGAUGAUGGGAGAUACACAUGUGGAAACAAUCAGAAAUGGAGUCGUGAUGUUGAUUUAAGGGUGAACAAAAACUCUUCUUCUUGUGGGACGUCUGUUAUCAGAUCUGCAUAUAUUGGUCAAACAAUCACUUUCAGUUAGUGAAUAUGAACAUGGGUUUAAAACACACACCAAAGUCUUGUACAGAGUGCACGGAGAUGCUGUGCUUGUGCUGAACAGCUCUCAAUCAUCACAAUCAUCUGAAGAGAAGUUCAUCCUGUCUGACAGUCAGAAAGAUCACUUUACUGUGACCAUCAGAAACAUUUCUGCAGCAGAUGAUGGAGUUUAUUUAUGUGGAGUGGAGAGAGACAGAGCAGAUAAACCACCUUCAAAAAAUCAAAUACUCACAUAACCUUCAUUAAAGAGAUUGAGCUGAAAGUUCUUCGUGAGUUUAGAUUCAUUUUAAUGGAAGAAAAAUCCUUAUAAAUUCUCUAAAUAAGAAAUGUAAAUCUCUCCUGACUGUUAAUAAUGUAAUAAAUCUUGUCUUGCAGGUCAGAUAACUUCUGUCCAGGUUGAGGCCUACAUCAGUAAAUCAGUCUUCAUCACGUGUGAAUUUCCAGAAGAAUUCAAAGAAAACAAGAAAUUUAUUGAGAAAGAUUCAUCACAGAAGAUUUCUGUUGAUGAACAGAAUCAGUGGAUCCCUCAUGAUAAAGUUCACGUGUUUGAUGAUACCAGUGCAGGAGUUUUGAAGGUUUUUAUCAGUGAUUUAACUGCAGCUGAUGAAGCUACGUACAGAUGUGGAGUGAAUAUCGCUGAUGAUCAUCUGUUCACUGAGAUCAAGCUGAAGAUCAGUCUAAGGUUAUUUUUUUAUAUUAUUAUUUCAAGGUUGUGUAGGCACCUACUGUUAUUGUUAGUGUUCUUGUUCUUCUUUCGCUUACGAGACUCUGACAGAGCUGCCUGCAGAAGAACUGAUAACAUUGAGAGAGAUAUAUAAAAACAAAAAAAACUUUCUGCCAUUUUUAAUUGACCAAAAACCUAUUUUUCAAAUCUUUCCUAGACAGUUUGUCUGAUUUUCACCAUGGCUCAGAUCAUCAUGAGACCAUGCUGAUAAAAACUAAUUAUAAGCUUUCUGAUAGUCCCAGCUAGAGCCCUGCGAGGGUGAUCCCGCUAUCCCCCGCUCACACUGAACUUCUGACAAUUACUGCCUGAUCCCACGAUUUCUGC